GUGUAAGCAUUGAACUCCGUUAACACAUUUGAUCUCAUCUGAUCUCAGAAGCUAAGUGGGAUACAGCCUAGUUAGUGCUUGGAUGGGAGACCUGAAGUAAGUCAUAAAACACC
ensembl:rRNA 5S_rRNA 5S ribosomal RNA